rnacentral:rRNA from 1 species
GCUUGUCUCAAAGAUUAAGCCAUGCAUGUCUUAGUGUAAAUAACUCUUAUGAAACUGCGAAUGGCUCAUUAAAUCAGUUAUCAAAUACGUGAUGGUCGCCUACUACAUGGAUAACCGUAGUAAUUCUAGAGCUAAUACAUGCGUCAAUGCCCGACUUCACGGAAGGGUUGCAUUUAUUAGAUACAAAACCGACCCGAGGUUCGCCUCGGAACCGUUGGUGAUUCAUAAUAACUAAGCGAAUCGCAUAGGCUUGCCUGGCGAUGGAUCUUUCAAGUUUCUGACCUAUCAGCUAUCGACGGUAGGGUAUUGGCCUACCGUGGCUAUGACGGGUAACGGAGAAUCAGGGUUCGAUUCCGGAGAGGGAGCCUGAGAAACGGCUACCACAUCUAAGGAAGGCAGCAGG